AGAAUCAACGCUGGCGGCGUGCCUAACACAUGCAAGUCGAACGAGAAAGGGACUUCGGUCCUGAGUAUAGUGGCGCACGGGUGAGUAACACGUGAAUAAUCUACCUUCGAGUGGGGAAUAACUGAGAGAAAUCUUAGCUAAUACCGCAUAAUACCUACGGGUCAAAGCAGCAAUGCGCUUGAAGAGGAGUUCGCGGCAGAUUAGCUAGUUGGCGGGGUAAUGGCCCACCAAGGCGAUGAUCUGUAUCCGGCCUGAGAGGGCGCACGGACACACUGGAACUGAAACACGGUCCAGACUCCUACGGGAGGCAGCAGUGGGGAAUUUUGCGCAAUGGGGGAAACCCUGACGCAGCAACGCCGCGUGGAGGAUGAAGUAUCUUGGUACGUAAACUCCUUUCGAUGGGGAAGAUAAUGACGGUACCCAUAGAAGAAGCCCGGCUAACUUCGUGCCAGCAGCCGC
rnacentral:rRNA from 1 species